CGGGUAGGUAAGUCAGAGGUGAAAAUCCUGGAGCUUAAACUCCAGAAACUGCCUUUGAUACUAUCUAUCUUGAAAUAUGGUGGAGGUAAGCGGAAUAUGUCAUGUAGCGGUGAAAAUGCAUAGAUAUGACAUAGAACACCUAUUGCGAAGGCAGCUUACUACGCCUAUAUUGACGCUGAGGGCACGAAAGCGUGGGGAUCAAACAGGAUUAGAUACCCUGGUAG
rnacentral:rRNA from 1 species